GCGGGGGUGGCAGAGUGGUCAAAUGCGCUGGCUUGAGGGGCCAGUCCCUUAGUGGGUGCGCGUGUUCAAGUCACGUCCUCCGCA
rnacentral:tRNA from 1 species